AUUGAACGCUGGCGGCAGGCUUAACACAUGCAAGUCGAGCGGAGAUGAGGUGCUUGCACCUUAUCUUAGCGGCGGACGGGUGAGUAAUGCUUAGGAAUCUGCCAUUUAGUGGGGGACAACAUUCCGAAAGGAAUGCUAAUACCGCAUACGUCCUACGGGAGAAAGCAGGGGAUCUUCGGACCUUGCGCUAAAUGAUGAGCCUAAGUCGGAUUAGCUAGUUGGUGGGGUAAAGGCCUACCAAGGCGACGAUCUGUAGCGGGUCUGAGAGGAUGAUCCGCCACACUGGGAAUGAGACACGGCUCAGACUCCUACGGGAUGCAGCAGUGGGGAAUAUUGGACAAUGGGCGGAAGCCUGAUCCAGCCAGGCCGCGUGUGUGAAGAAGGCCUUUUGGUUGUAAAGCACUUUAAGCGAGGAGGAGGCUACUAGUACUAAUACUACUGGAUAGUGGACGUUACUCGCAGAAUAAGCACCGGCUAACUCUGUGCCAGCAGCCGCAGUAACAC
rnacentral:rRNA from 1 species